rnacentral:rRNA from 1 species
GAUGAACGCUGGCGGCGUGCCUAAUACAUGCAAGUCGAGCGAACAGAUGAGGAGCUUGCUCCUCUGACGUUAGCGGCGGACGGGCGAGUAACACGUGGAUAACCUACCUAUAAGACUGGGAUAACUUCGGGAAACCGGAGCUAAUACCGGAUAAUAUAUUGAACCGCAUGGUUCAAUAGUGAAAGACGGUUUUGCUGUCACUUAUAGAUGGAUCCGCGCCGCAUUAGCUAGUUGGUAAGGUAACGGCUUACCAAGGCGACGAUGCGUAGCCGACCUGAGAGGGUGAUCGGCCACACUGGAACUGAGACACGGUCCAGACUCCUACGGGAGGCAGCAGUAGGGAAUCUUCCGCAAUGGGCGAAAGCCUGACGGAGCAACGCCGCGUGAGUGAUGAAGGUCUUCGGAUCGUAAAACUCUGUUAUUAGGGAAGAACAAAUGUGUAAGUAACUAUGCACGUCUUGACGGUACCUAAUCAGAAAGCCACGGCUAACUACGUG